AGCCACGCGGUGAGCACAGAGCGAACUAUUCUUUCGCCUUUUACUAAAGAAUACCGUGUGCUCGCCGCAUUCAGUGGCAUACGCCUAUUUUUGGAGGUGUUUCUCUACGGGGAGACA
rnacentral:snRNA from 1 species